rnacentral:rRNA from 1 species
CCCUAAGGCGAGGCCGAAAGGCGUAGUCGAUGGGAAACAGGUUAAUAUUCCUGUACUUGGUGUUACUGCGAAGGGGGGACGGAGAAGGCUAUGUCGGCCGGGCGACGGUUGUCCCGGUUUAAGCGUGUAGGCUGACUUUCCAGGCAAAUCCGGAGAGUUAAGGCUGAGGCGUGAUGACGAGGCACCACGGUGCUGAAGUGACAAAUGCCCUGCUUCCAGGAAAAGCCUCUAAGCAUCAGGUAACAUCAAAUCGUACCCCAAACCGACACAGGUGGUCAGGUAGAGAAUACCAAGGCGCUUGAGAGAACUCGGGUGAAGGAACUAGGCAAAAUGGUGCCGUAACUUCGGGAGAAGGCACGCUGACAUGUAGGUGAAGCCCCUGCGGGUGGAGCUGAAGUCAGUCGAAGAUACCAGCUGGCUGCAACUGUUUAUUAAAAACACAGCACUGUGCAAACACGAAAGUGGACGUAUACGGUGUGACGCCUGCCCGGUGCCGGAAGGUUAAUUGAUGGGGUUAUCGCAAGAGAAGCUCCUGAUCGAAGCCCCGGUAAACGGCGGCCGUAACUAUAACGGUCCUAAGGUAGCGAAAUUCCUUGUCGGGUAAGUUCCGACCUGCACGAAUGGCGUAAUGAUGGCCAGGCUGUCUCCACCCGAGACUCAGUGAAAUUGAACUCGCUGUGAAGAUGCAGUGUACCCGCGGCAAGACGGAAAGACCCCGUGAACCUUUACUACAGCUUGACACUGAACAUUGAGCCUUGAUGUGUAGGAUAGGUGGGAGGCUUUGAAGCGUGGACGCCAGUCUGCGUGGAGCCAACCUUGAAAUACCACCCUUUAAUGUUUGAUGUUCUAACCUGGCGCCAUAAUCUGGCGUGGGGACAGUGUCUGGUGGGUAGUUUGACUGGGGCGGUCUCCUCCCAAAGUGUAACGGAGGAGCACGAAGGUCAGCUAAUCCUGGUCGGACAUCAGGAGGUUAGUGCAAUGGCAUAAGCUGGCUUGACUGCGAGAGUGACGGCUCGAGCAGGUGCGAAAGCAGGUCAUAGUGAUCCGGUGGUUCUGUAUGGAAGGGCCAUCGCUCAACGGAUAAAAGGUACUCCGGGGAUAACAGGCUGAUACCGCCCAAGAGUUCAUAUCGACGGCGGUGUUUGGCACCUCGAUGUCGGCUCAUCACAUCCUGGGGCUGAAGUAGGUCCCAAGGGUAUGGCUGUUCGCCAUUUAAAGUGGUACGCGAGCUGGGUUUAGAACGUCGUGAGACAGUUCGGUCCCUAUCUGCCGUGGGCGCUGGAGAAUUGAGGGGGGCUGCUCCCAGUACGAGAGGACCGGAGUGGACGCAUCACUGGUGUUCGGGUUGUCAUGCCAAUGGCACUGCCCGGUAGCUAAAUGCGGAAGAGAUAAGUGCUGAAAGCAUCUAAGCACGAAACUUGCCC